rnacentral:rRNA from 1 species
UAAGGUGACUAGGGCAAUGUGGCUCACCUCUUCCCAUACCGAACAGAGAAGUUAAGCACAUUUGCGCCGAUGGUACUGCCUUGCGGUGGGAGAGUAGGUCGUCGCCUUCU